AAUGUCUGGGAAACUGCCUGAUGGAGGGGGAUAACUACUGGAAACGGUAGCUAAUACCGCAUAACGUCGCAAGACCAAAGAGGGGGACCUUCGGGCCUCUUGCCAUCGGAUGUGCCCAGAUGGGAUUAGCUAGUAGGUGGGGUAACGGCUCACCUAGGCGACGAUCCCUAGCUGGUCUGAGAGGAUGACCAGCCACACUGGAACUGAGACACGGUCCAGACUCCUACGGGAGGCAGCAGUGGGGAAUAUUGCACAAUGGGCGCAAGCCUGAUGCAGCCAUGCCGCGUGUAUGAAGAAGGCCUUCGGGUUGUAAAGUACUUUCAGCGGGGAGGAAGGGAGUAAAGUUAAUACCUUUGCUCAUUGACGUUACCCGCAGAAGAAGCACCGGCUAACUCCGUGCCAGCAGCCGCGGUAAUACGGAGGGUGCAAGCGUUAAUCGGAAUUACUGGGCGUAAAGCGCACGCAGGCGGUUUGUUAAGUCAGAUGUGAAAUCCCCGGGCUCAACCUGGGAACUGCAUCUGAUACUGGCAAGCUUGAGUCUCGUAGAGGGGGGUAGAAUUCCAGGUGUAGCGGUGAAAUGCGUAGAGAUCUGGAGG
rnacentral:rRNA from 1 species